rnacentral:rRNA from 2 species
AAGUCGAACGGUGACGGAGGAGCUUGCUCUUCCUGAUCAGUGGCGAACGGGUGAGUAACACGUGGGCAACCUGCCCCUGACUUUGGGAUAACGCUUCGAAAGAGGUGCUAAUACCGGAUAUGAGCCUCCCUGGCAUCUGGGGGGCUGGAAAGUUUUUCGGUCAGGGAUGGGCCCGCGGCCUAUCAGCUUGUUGGUGAGGUAAUGGCUCACCAAGGCGACGACGGGUAGCCGGCCUGAGAGGGCGACCGGCCACACUGGGACUGAGACACGGCCCAGACUCC